rfam:Gallibacterium anatis TMN179, complete genome.
CAAGCUACUGGGUCGCCUGUAGCUUG